rnacentral:rRNA from 1 species
UACAGAGGGUGCGAGCGUUGUCCGGAAUUACUGGGCGUAAAGGGCGCGUAGGCGGCUUGGUAAGUCGGGGGGUGAAAGUCAGCGGCUCAACCGCUGGACUGCCUUCGAGACUGCCUGGCUUGAGCAUGGUAGAGGCUGGCGGAAUUCCCGGUGUAGCGGUGAAAUUCGUAGAUAUUCGGAAGAACACCAGUGGCGAAGGCGACUAACUGGACAUGUAUUGACGCUGAGGUGCGAAAGCGUGGGGAGCAAACAGG